rnacentral:lncRNA from 1 species
CAGAUGGGUUAGUAUUAUAGGUGUGGUACUAGACAGAUGGGUUAGUAUUAUAGGUGUGGUACUAGACAGAUGGGUUAGUUAUAUAGGUGUGGUACUAGACAGAUGGAUUAGUAUUAUAGGUGUGGUACUAGACAGAUGGAUUAGUAUUAUAGGUGUGGUACUGGACAGAUGGGUUAUGGGUAGUAUUAUAGGUGUGGAACUAGACAGAUGGGUUAGUAUUAUAGGUGUGGUACUGGACAGAUGGGUUAGUAUUAUAGGUGUGGUACUAGACAGAUGGGUUAUGGGUAGUAUUAUAGGUGUGGUACUGGACAGAUGGGUUAGUAUUAUAGGUGUGGUACUGGACAGAUGGGUUAGAAUUAUAGGGGUGGUACUGGACAGAUGGGUUGGUAUUAUAGGUGUGGUACAAGACAGAUGGUUUAUGGGUAGUACUAAAGGUGUGGUAAUAGACAGAUGGGUUAUGGGUAGUAUUAUACGUGUGGUACUGGACAGAUGGGUUAGUAUUAUAGGAAUGGUACUAGACAGAUGGGUUAGUAUUAUAGGUGUGGUACUAGACAGAUGGGUUAGUAUUAUCGGUGUGGUACUAGACAGAUUUGGUUAGUUAUAUAGGUGUGGUACUAGACAGAUUUGGUUAGUAUUAUAGGUGUGGAACUGGACAUAUGGUUUGGUAUUAUAGGUGUGGUACUGGACAGAAGGGUUAGUACUACAGUUGUGGUACUAGAAAGAUGGGUUAUGGUAGUAUUAUAGGUGUGGUACGAGACAGAUGGGUUAGUAUUAUAGGUGUGGUACUAGACAUAUGGGUUAGUUAUAUAGGUGUGGUACUAGACAGAUGGAUUAGUAUUAUAGGUGUGGUACUAGACAGAUGGAUUAGUAUUAUAGGUGUGGUACUGUACAGAUGGGUUAUGGGUAGUAUUAUAGGUGUGGUACUGGACAGAUGGGUUAGUAUUAUAGGAAUGGUACUAGACAGAUGGGUUAGUAUUAUAGGUGUGGUACUAGACAGAUGGGUUAGUAUUAUAGGUGUGGUACUAGACAGAUGGGUUAGUUAUAUAGGUGUGGUACUAGA